rnacentral:rRNA from 1 species
AGAGUUUGAUCCUGGCUCAGGAUGAACGCUAGCGACAGGCCUAACACAUGCAAGUCGAGGGGCAGCGCGGAAAUAGUUUACUAGUUCUGGCGGCGACCGGCGCACGGGUGCGUAACAGGUGUGCAAUCUGUCCAUAGUCGGGGAAUAGCCCACCGAAAGGUGAAUUAAUGCUCCAUGUGAGUGAAAGCCGCAUGACUUUCAUUUAAAACGUAAGGACUAUGGGUGAGCACGCUUCUGAUUAGAUAGUUGGUGAGGUAACGGCUCACCAAGUCGACGAUCAGUAGGGGUUCUGAGAGGAAGGUCCCCCACAUUGGAACUGAGCCAUGAUCAAACUC